ACCGGCUCAGUAACACGUGGAUAACCUGCCCUAAGGAAGGGGAUAACCCCGGGAAACUGGGGAUAAUACCCUAUAGACUACAGAUGCUGGAAUGCUCUGUAAUCGAAAGUUCCGACGCCUUAGGAUGGAUCUGCGGCCGAUUAGGUUGUUGUCGGGGUAAUGGCCCAACAAGCCAGUGAUCGGUACGGGUUGUGGGAGCAAGGGCCCGGAGUUGGAUUCUGAGACACGAAUCCAGGCCCUACGGGGCGCAGCAGGCGCGAAAACUUACAAUGCGGGCAACCGUGAUAAGGGAACCUCGAGUGCCUGUAUAUGCAGGCUGUCCAGGUGUCUAAAACACACCUGAAGAAAGGGCCGGGCAAGACCGGUGCCAGCCGCCGCGGUAAUAACGGCGGCUCGAGUGGUGGCCACUUUUAUUGGGCUUAAAGCGUUCGUAGCUGGGUUGUUAAGUCUCUUGGGAAAUCUGGCGGCUUAACCGUCAGGCGUCUAAGGGAUACUGGCAAUCUUGGAACCGGGAGAGGUGAGGGGUACUUCGGGGGUAGGAGUGAAAUCCCUGUAAUCCCUCGAGGGACCACCUGUGGGCGAAAGGCGCCUCACCAGAACGGCUUCGACAGUGAGGGACGAAAGCUGGGGGAGCAAACCGGAUUAGAUACCCGGGUAGUCCCAGCCGUAAACGAUGCGCGUUAGGUGUAUCGGUGACCACGAGUCACCGAGGUGCCGAAGGAAACCGUGAAACGUGCCGCCUGGGAAGUACGGUCGCAGGCUGAACU
rnacentral:rRNA from 1 species